GUGACUGCAGUUGAAGGAAAGCAACAGCAUGCUGCUCAGUGAUUCUUUUAAUCUUGUUUGUCACAUUUUCAUAUUGGUUGGAAGCCAAAUCGAAACCGAAACUAAAAUCUGAUUCGUACAGCUCCGCUGCUAACUCACGAUGAAUUUGAGUAGAUUUCCCCGCGAGCUCUUCAGGAGAACACAAGACAAGUCUUUCAGCGUUUUUCUUCCGAUUUAGAUUUAAAGGUGUUAUUGUUAAAAUGGCGACAGUAGCAGCAGGUAGACGUAGUCCAUUAUUUGAUCGUCCUGACAUGAGUGAUCUGAGGAUUGUGCUGAUAGGAAAGAAUGGAUCAGAAAACAGGCGAGUGGCAAACACUAUACUGGGAAGAGCAGUGUUUGACAGUGAAGCUCCAUCUCAUUCACAGCAGCACAGUGACAGAAUCAGUGGAGAGCUGGAGGGGAGAUACAUCACAGUCUACAAUCCUCACCUGCUCCAGCCAAAUUUCCCACAGGGAGUGAUAAUAGAUGGAGUGAGAGACUGUGUGUCUCAUUCUGAUCCAGGACCUCAUGUGUUUGUACUCGUUCUGCAGAAUAACAACUUCAAUGAGAACGACAGACACAGAGUGAAAUAUGUACUGAACCUCUUCAGUUACUAGGCCUUGAAACACACUAUAGUGCUGACUACUGAUGAUGUGCCACGCAGAUCAAUAUUCACUUCUAGGAAUAACUCUAUUCAUGAUUUAAUAAAGGAGUGUGGAGGAGGACAUCUGAAGUUUAAUACAGUAAGCACAGGAUGGCGCUUUGAGAUUUUCAGAAGGACAGAAGAGAUACUCAAGAAAGAAAGAAUAGAAUUUCUCAUCUGUGACAAUAAUGAGGAUGAAGAUCUGAGAAGAUCUGGGGCUUCCGUCAGAGAAGAAGACAAAAAAAGAGCAUUCUGAUCUAAAAGAGAGCACAAAAACAGCAAGUGAUGGAGGAGUGGGGACUACUGGGAAAGCAAAGCUGAACAUCGUGCUGUGUGGAAAUAACUCAACACUCAAGAACUCAGUGUCUAAAAUCUUUAGAGGCAAAAUAAGUCAACCUCAGAAAGAGAUGAGUAAUGUAUGUGUAAAGAAAGAGGGAAUGAUUCAUGGACAGAUCUCUCAGAGGAGGAAGUGAUGCGCCAGACUCACCGCUGUGUGUCUCUCUGUCACCCUGGAGUUCAUGUGUUCAUCCUCAUCAUUCCUGAUGCUCCACUAACUGAUGAAGACAGAGCAGAGAUAGAAGAGAUCCAGAGGAUCUUCAGCUCAAGAAUCAACAAACACAUCAUGAUCCUCAUAAAGCAGGAUUCAGAGCAUCAGACAGCAGAACUAAAUGAAGAAACACAGUCUGUCACUGAGAGAUUUGGAGGACAUCAUUUCAUUGACCUGAACACACACGUGUCUGUGUUGAUGGAUAAAUUGGAGCAGAUGGUUGAGGAAAAUAGUGGUGUUUAUUUCUCAACAGAGACACUGAUGGAGGCACAGAUGGAGAAACUGCUGAAAUGAAGAGGAGAAUCUGUUCAUUAGAGAUGUUUCUUUAGUUAUAAGGUAAUGCUCUGCAGGGAUUAAACACUUUUCAUAAUGGUUAAGGUCUACAUACUAUCCAAACAAAAUGAUUAGCACAUGCUUAAUAUAAAUUAUACACAGUAUAUUUUUCUGAUGAUCUUCAUAAUUCACCAUAUUUACUUGAAAUUCAAUAUAUUGUUUUAUUAGUGCCCAAGCCGCAAGGGACACAGGGCCCUAUUGUUCUUCUAGGGAUUAUAAUUAGGGCCCAAGCCCAUGGGGUGAAGGGUUUUUGGGGCCCUUAACAUGCUCAAAAAAACACACCUUGGAAUCUGUGGCCAUUAGAGCCAGGCCGAGAGUGUUACAUGAGUGUUACAGGAGUAGAGGGGCUCUACUGCACUGCCUAGAAUAUUGUGGUCCAUAUAUCAUACAUAUUUGCCUGUAUGAACUUCGGUACACAUAUAGAUCUCAUCAAGCUGAACAACUUUUGCACUGCAUCUCAUUAGCUCCACCCAACAGGAAGUCAGCUAUUCUAGGUUUUGUAAAAAAAUGCAUGCCCUGGAAUUUGAUAUACUUAUCCUAGUGUUUUCCUCCGAUUCCCACCAAACUUCUGAUCUCAAGACAUUGAGGAUGCUAAAUUGUGAAGGGAUUUUUGAUAUCUCGAACAAUUUGGCCAUGCUGAGGCAACAGUAUUUAUGGCAAGAAAUCUGAUAUAGGAAGUGUUUUAUAACUUCCAUAUACAGUGUCUGAUUUUGAUCAAACUUUAGCAGUUUGUUCAUUGCAUGAAGCCGAUCACAUAGAUGUGACAAUUAUGAGUCAAAGUUAUAGCACCACCAACUGGCAGAAGGAAGUGUCUCUUUUAAAAAUGCUUUGAAUUCACCCAAUUGAAACUUGAAUUUUUAAACCGAUUUGAAUACUGUCAAAACAUGGCAGAUGUAAACCUGCAAAAGGAUUAUUGAAAUUGUAAGUAGUGUUGCCAUGGCAACAAAUUUUAUCUACAUGAUGCCAAAACACUGAGGAACCUAAAUUGCAAAUGGAUUUUGAAUAUCUUGAAUGGCGUUGCCAUGGCAAUUUAUUAAAUAAACAGCUACAAAGAAAAUGUAUCUUUAUAUUUUAAUUUUCUCAUAUCUUAAAGUUUAUUAUCUAAACAUUUCACAACUUUUUUUUCAUAUGGAAAACAAGUCAUUCUGAGGAAACAUGCUUAGUUUCAUGUAUUUACAAUACUCAAUGGCUAAAAUGUAAAACUAUUAGACAUUUCAGCUGACAGAUAAAGGCUGCUGGUUGUCCAUCAGGAUAAGAAAUCUUUUAAGCAUAAACCUCUUUCUUCUCGGUUUGCAAUAGUUAGUUUGAUAAAUAAAUAGAAUAUAUAUUGUGUUGGUAAUAUAGAUUUAUGUAAUUAUUUAACAAAUGCUUAUAGACAAUAACAAUCAUUUAAAAAUGCUUAUAUAUCAUAAAAAGUUUUGGUAACAUUUGACAGUAAGGUCUCUUUUUUAAUCCUUUUUUAAAACAUAAACUAACAAUGAACAACAUAUUUUUACAAUAUUGAUUUAAGGGGUCAUGUAAUGUUGCUAAAAAGAACAUUAUUUUGUGUAUUUGGUGUAAUGCAAUGUGUUUAUGCAGUUUAAGGUUCAAAACAUUAUUUUCCACAUACUGUAAAAUUAUUGUUUCUCCUCUAUGCCCCGCCUUCUGAAAUGCUUCCAUUUUUACAAAGCUCAUCUUUCUGAAAAGUGAGGUGUGCUCUGAUUGGCCAGCUAUCCAGUGUGUUGUGAUUAGCCGAAUGCCUCAAGCGUGUGACGGAAAUGUUAAGCCCUUAACAUACUGUGAUGUGUGUGUCCUGGCGCGACGAGACAAAACCAAUAAAACCCAUUACAAACAAGGCAUUUGUACCAUCCAGUGGGUACAUAAUUACUGAUUAUAAUGACUUAUACUGUGUUUACAUAACACCAAGCAACUUUAGGGAUCUUACCUAUUCACGAACAGCUUGUAACACUCCAAAGAGAAAGGAAAACUUGAAAUCGCAUCAUAUGACCCCUUUAAUCUUUGUUAAUUUAAUAAAUAAAAAUGUUCAUAUUAGUUAAUGGUAUUAACUAAUGUUAACAGAUACAAGUUUCAAUUUUAAUUAAUAACAUAUUAGUAAAUUCUGAACAUAAUACUGUAUAAAGAUUCAUAAAUGCAAUAUAUUGUUCAUGUUAAGUAAUAAAGUUAAUGAAUGCUAACAGCUGAAACUGAGAGUGUUACCAGAGUUUUAUAGAUUGUUCUCUUUGUGUGUGAAUGUGUUUAUCACACUCUGGUGUUCUAGAAGUAACCAUUUCAUUGCUGUGUGCUGACCAUAACAAUCAGACUGCUAAACAAUCAAUUAUAUAGUAUUUAUUUCUAUGUGAAAUAAUAAAUUUAUUAUGGAAAAUCAGAUUGUAUUGUGUUUUUCAAAUAAUGCAGUAUGUGUAAGGUUGAAAGGUACUAGUUGAAAUAAAAUAAACUGUAAUAUAU
ensembl:lncRNA